rnacentral:rRNA from 1 species
GACUUUCCCUUCGGGGACAAAAUGACAGGUGGUGCAUGGUUGUCGUCAGCUCGUGUCGUGAGAUGUUGGGUUAAGUCCCGCAACGAGCGCAACCCUUAUUGUUAGUUGCCAGCAUUAAGUUGGGCACUCUAGCAAGACUGCCGGUGACAAACCGGAGGAAGGUGGGGAUGACGUCAAAUCAUCAUGCCCCUUAUGACCUGGGCUACACACGUGCUACAAUGGACGGUACAACGAGUCGCAAGACCGCGAGGUUUAGCAAAUCUCUUAAAGCCGUUCUCAGUUCGGAUUGUAGGCUGCAACUCGCCUACAUGAAGUCGGAAUCGCUAGUAAUCGCGGAUCAGCAUGCCGCGGUGAAUACGUUCCCGGGCCUUGUACACACCGCCCGUCACACCAUGAGAGUUUGUAACACCCAAAGCCGGUGGGGUAACCUUUUGGAGCCAGCCGUCUAAGGUGGGACAGAUGAUUGGGGUGAAGUCGUAACAAGGUAGCCGUAGGAGAACC